rnacentral:rRNA from 1 species
GAUGAACGCUGGCGGCGUGCCUAAUACAUGCAAGUCGAGCGAACGGACGAGAAGCUUGCUUCUCUGAUGUUAGCGGCGGACGGGUGAGUAACACGUGGAUAUCCUACCUAUAAGACUGGGAUAACUUCGGGAAACCGGAGCUAAUACCGGAUAAUAUUUUGAACCGCAUGGUUCAAAAGUGAAAGACGGUCUUGCUGUCACUUAUAGAUGGAUCCGCGCUGCAUUAGCUAGUUGGUAAGGUAACGGCUUACCAAGGCAACGAUGCAUAGCCGACCUGAGAGGGUGAUCGGCCACACUGGAACUGAGACACGGUCCAGACUCCUACGGGAGGCAGCAGUAGGGAAUCUUCCGCAAAGGGCGAAAGCCUGACGGAGCAACGCCGCGUGAGUGAUGAAGGUCUUCGGAUCGUAAAACUCUGUUAUUAGGGAAGAACAUAUGUGUAAGUAACUGUGCACAUCUUGACGGUACCUAAUCAGAAAGCCACGGCUAACUACGUG